rnacentral:rRNA from 1 species
UUACACAUGCAGUCGAACGAUGAACCUCACUUGUGGGGGGAUUAGUGGCGAACGGGUGAGUAACACGUGAGUAACCUGCCCUUAACUCUGGGAUAAGCCUGGGAAACUGGGUCUAAUACCGGAUAUGACUCCUCAUCGCAUGGUGGGGGGUGGAAAGCUUUUUGUGGUUUUGGAUGGACUCGCGGCCUAUCAGCUUGUUGGUGAGGUAAUGGCUUACCAAGGCGACGACGGGUAGCCGGCCUGAGAGGGUGACCGGCCACACUGGGACUGAGACACGGCCCAGACUCCUACGGGAGGCAGCAGUGGGGAAUAUUGCACAAUGGGCGCAAGCCUGAUGCAGCGACGCCGCGUGAGGGAUGACGGCCUUCGGGUUGUAAACCUCUUUCAGUAGGGAAGAAGCGAAAGUGACGGUACCUGCAGAAGAAGCGCCGGCUAACUACGUGCCAGCAGCCGCGGUAAUACGUAGGGCGCAAGCGUUAUCCGGAAUUAUUGGGCGUAAAGAGCUCGUAGGCGGUUUGUCGCGUCUGCCGUGAAAGUCCGGGGCUCAACUCCGGAUCUGCGGUGGGUACGGGCAGACUAGAGUGAUGUAGGGGAGACUGGAAUUCCUGGUGUAGCGGUGAAAUGCGCAGAUUUCAGGAGGAACCCCGAUGGCGAAGGCAGGUCUCUGGGCAUUAACUGACGCUGAGGAGCGAAAGCAUGGGGAGCGAACAGGAUUAGAUACCCUGGUAGUCCAUGCCGUAAACGUUGGGCACUAGGUGUGGGGGACAUUCCACGUUUUCCGCGCCGUAGCUAACGCAUUAAGUGCCCCGCCUGGGGAGUACGGGCCGCAAGGCU